rnacentral:rRNA from 1 species
GACGAACGCUGGCGGCGUGCUUAACACAUGCAAGUCGAACGGAAAGGCCCUGCUUUUGUGGGGUGCUCGAGUGGCGAACGGGUGAGUAACACGUGAGUAACCUGCCCUUGACUUUGGGAUAACUUCAGGAAACUGGGGCUAAUACCGGAUAGGAGCUCCUGCUGCAUGGUGGGGGUUGGAAAGUUUCGGCGGUUGGGGAUGGACUCGCGGCUUAUCAGCUUGUUGGUGGGGUAGUGGCUUACCAAGGCUUUGACGGGUAGCCGGCCUGGGAGGGUGACCGGCCACAAUGGGACUGAGAUACGGCCCAGACUCCUACGGGAGGCAACAGGGGGGAAUAUUGCACAAUGGGCGGAAGCCUGAUGCAGCAACGCCGCGUGCGGGAUGACGGCCUUCGGGUUGUAAACCGCUUUCGCCUGUGACGAAGCGUGAGUGACGGUAAUGGGUAAAGAAGCACCGGCUAACUACGUG